rnacentral:rRNA from 1 species
AGUGAACGCUGGCGGUAGGCCUAACACAUGCAAGUCGAACGGCAGCACAGUAAGAGCUUGCUCUUACGGGUGGCGAGUGGCGGACGGGUGAGGAAUACAUCGGAAUCUACUUUUUCGUGGGGGAUAACGUAGGGAAACUUACGCUAAUACCGCAUACGACCUACGGUUGAAAGCAGGGGAUCUUCGGACCUUGCGCGAUUGAAUGAGCCGAUGUCGGAUUAGCUAGUUGGCGGGGUAAAGGCCCACCAAGGCGACGAUCCGUAGCUGGUCUGAGAGGAUGAUCAGCAACACUGGAACUGAGACACGGUCCAGACUCCUACGGGAGGCAGCAGUGGGGAAUAUUGGACAAUGGGCGCAAGCCUGAUCCAGCCAUACCGCGUGGGUGAAGAAGGACUUCGGGUUGUAAAGCCCUUUUGUUGGGAAAGAAAAGCAGCAGGUUAAUACCCCGCUGUUCUGACGGUACCCAAAGAAUAAGCACCGGCUAACUUCGUG